rnacentral:rRNA from 1 species
UAGGUAACCUGCCUUGUANCGGGGGAUAACUAUUGGAAACGAUAGCUAAUACCGCAUAACAAUGGAUGACACAUGUCAUUUAUUUGAAAGGGGCAAUUGCUCCACUACAAGAUGGACCUGCGUUGUAUUAGCUAGUAGGUGAGGUAAUGGCUCACCUAGGCGACGAUACAUAGCCGACCUGAGAGGGUGAUCGGCCACACUGGGACUGAGACACGGCCCAGACUCCUACGGGAGGCAGCAUG